rnacentral:rRNA from 1 species
AUGAACGCUAGCUACAGGCUUAACACAUGCAAGUCGCGGGGCAGCAUGAAGGAUGCUUGCAUCCUUUGAUGGCGACCGGCGCACGGGUGAGUAACGCGUAUCCAACCUGCCUGUUACCACGGCACAGCCCGUCGAAAGGCGGAUUAAUGCCGUAUGUGGUCCUUUGCGGGCAUCUAAUUAGGACUAAAGGUUCAGCGGUAACGGAUGGGGAUGCGUCCGAUUAGCUAGACGGCGGGGUAACGGCCCACCGUGGCGACGAUCGGUAGGGGUUCUGAGAGGAAGGUCCCCCACACUGGAACUGAGACACGGUCCAGACUCCUACGGGAGGCAGCAGUGAGGAAUAUUGGUCAAUGGGCGGAAGCCUGAACCAGCCAAGUAGCGUGAGGGAAGACUGCCCUAUGGGUUGUAAACCUCUUUUGUGCGGGGAUAAAGUGUGGGACGUGUCCCAUAUUGCAGGUACCGCACGAAUAAGGACCGGCUAAUUCCGUGCCAGCAGCCGCGGUAAUACGGAAGGUCCGGGCGUUAUCCGGAUUUAUUGGGUUUAAAGGGAGCGCAGGCCGUCCUUUAAGCGUGCUGUGAAAUGCCGCGGCUCAACCGUGGCACUGCAGCGCGAACUGGAGGACUUGAGUACGCACGAGGUAGGCGGAAUUCGUGGUGUAGCGGUGAAAUGCUUAGAUAUCACGAAGAACUCCGAUUGCGAAGGCAGCUUACCGGAGCGCAACUGACGCUGAGGCUCGAAAGCGCGGGUAUCGAACAGGAUUAGAUACCCUGGUAGUCCGCGCGGUAAACGAUGGAUGCCCGCCGUUGGGUUUUAGAAUUCAGCGGCCAAGCGAAAGCGUUAAGCAUCCCACCUGGGGAGUACGCCGGCAACGGUGAAACUCAAAGGAAUUGACGGGGGCCCGCACAAGCGGUGGAGUAUGUGGUUUAAUUCGACGCAACGCGAAGAACCUUACCAGGUCUUGACAUCCACUUAAACUUACAGAGAUGUAAGGUGUGCUUGCACAAAGUGAGACAGGUGGUGCAUGGUUGUCGUCAGCUCGUGCCGUGAGGUGUCGGCUCAAGUGCCAUAACGAGCGCAACCCCUGUCCAUAGUUGCCAUCAGGUCGUGCUGGGCACUCUGUGGAGACUGCCGCCGUAAGGUGUGAGGAAGGUGGGGAUGACGUCAAAUCAGCACGGCCCUUACGUCCGGGGCUACACACGUGUUACAAUGGGGCAUACAGCGAGUUGGAUGUGCGCAAGUACGUCCGGAUCAAUAAAGUGCCUCUCAGUUCGGACUGGGGUCUGCAACCCGACCCCACGAAGCUGGAUUCGCUAGUAAUCGCGCAUCAGCCAUGGCGCGGUGAAUACGUUCCCGGGCCUUGUACACACCGCCCGUCAAGCCAUGAAAGCCGGGGGCGCCUGAAGUCCGUGACCGCGAGGGUCGGCCUAGGGUGAAACCGGUGAUUGGGGCU